rnacentral:lncRNA from 1 species
UCAGCGGGCGGGGCGGAAGGGAGGAGCCAGGGUCUUCCUCCUCAUUUCUCUCUGCUUUAGUGGCAACUUGGGAAGUGGUUGGGUCACCGCCAGGGUUCCAGCUCCCAUGGGCAGCCCCCUGCCUGACUGUGGUUCCGGUGUCCCACACCUAGUCUGGUUCCCAGGCUUUGGGUAUCGGCACUUCCUCCCCGGUCUCUGGAGUCCCAGGUUGUCACAGCUGCCUGCCGCUGCUUGUCGACAGGAUCUCAUGUUAUUUAGGCUUGUCUGGGACUCCUGGCCUCAAGCAAUCCUCCUGCCUCGGCCUACCGAAGUGCUGGGAUUACAGGCAUGAGCCACUGCACCCGGCCACCAGCAUUUGUUAAAGUCUCACCACGGAUCAGGCUCUCAUCUAAAAAACUUGAAGUUGUCAUUCUGUGUCCUUACAGUAACCCCUCAAGCUGAAGACAAAAUAUUUGCCAGUCUUGUUCAUGAAGGUAUUCCAAUGCCUAGAACAUUGCUUUUGCACAUAGUAGGUGCUCAACAAACGGGCCUUGCACACAGUAGUUAAUAUCACAGGUUAAAGACGAAGAAUAAGGGGGAUCCCUGCCUUGAUGGACAAGGAGAAAAGCAGGGCCCUGAUGAGGGAGCCCCGCACUGCCAGGAUGGAGCAGGAGUGUCAAAGGAAGCCUUCCAACAGCGGUGGCACAGGCGCCAAGGCAACAAGGAAGGGUGGGAGCUCUGCAAGGCACCGGGCACUCCAGGCAGAAGGACCUGUGUGGGGAAAAGCAAGGCAGCUGGAAAAAGCAAGCGGAGCUGCGAAGGCGCCAAGAACACAGUGAGAAGGUAGCCAGGAAGAGAGCCCUC